GCUCUGCCUGCUUCUCCACAGCCCCCACCUCCCUCCCAGCUCCAGUCCCACUGGCAGUGUCCACACACUGCCCAUUCCUGCUGCAGGGCCGUUUUAGUUGCUCUUCCUGGAAUUUCUCCACCCCAGAUCUUUGCUCAUGAACCCCAUCUCGUCCAUCAGGCCAGACAAAAAGACCACCGCCUCGAAGACGCCCUCCCGGACAGCCACCUGUGCCUACAUCGUGUACAAAAAUGACCUGGAGUGUGUUUCUGCCGCAUUGUCAAUCCCUCCCCGCCUUCCAGUGUGUACCUCUCCUAAGCUCCACCCAAUGUGGUCCAUCCUGGUGCCUGAAACCCUGAAGGCACGCAACUCAAAGACGGAGGCUUCACCACACUCAGUUAAUGAAACCGGCUUUUAUGAGACGCACCGGACCAGCUGCGUGGCUUUGGCUGAGCUGCGUAACCUUUCUGAACCUUAUCUCCGGGCUGCCAUGAGAAUUGAGAGUGAGGAAGGCCCGGGGCCCUCACAGGGGACCUAAUGAAGCCUCAAAGUGCCCUUCCAGGGAGCGGAGGGUUGGAGACGCGCACGCAGAGGAGAGGCCUGUGGGGACCUGGGAAGGAGCCAUCUGCGAACCAGGAAGAGACGGCGGGAGAAGCCCACCCUGGUUCACAGGCUCCAGUGCGGUGAGGGGAGCGAUGUCUGCUGUGAGAGCUGCCCUGUCUGUGGUAUUUUGUUUUGGGUGCUCCCAAAUGCAGCUGGUUUAAACAACUGAAGACCUCACUGUCUCACACGGCUUCUGAGGUCUGAGGAUCGAGAGGGGCUUGGCUGGGCGGAGUGGCUUAGGGGGACGUUGCCAUCAAGCGGUCAGCCAGGGCCGAGGUCAC
rnacentral:lncRNA from 10 species